rnacentral:rRNA from 1 species
GAUGAACGCUGGCGGCGUGCCUAAUACAUGCAAGUCGAGCGAACAGACGAGGAGCUUGCUCCUCUGACGUUAGCGUCGGACGGGUGAGUAACACGUGGAUAACCUACCUAUAAGACUGGGAUAACUUCGGGAAACCGGAGCUAAUACCGGAUAAUAUAUUGAACCGCAUGGUUCAAUAGUGAAAGACGGUCUUGCUUUCACUUAUAGAUGGAUCCGCGCCGCAUUAGCUAGUUGGUAAGGUAACGGCUUACCAAGGCAACGAUGCGUAGCCGACCUGAGAGGGUGAUCGGCCACACUGGAACUGAGACACGGUCCAGACUCCUACGGGAGGCAGCAGUAGGGAAUCUUCCGCAAUGGGCGAAAGCCUGACGGAGCAACGCCGCGUGAGUGAUGAAGGUCUUCGGAUCGUAAAACUCUGUUAUUAGGGAAGAACAAAUGUGUAAGUAACUAUGCACGUCUUGACGGUACCUAAUCAGAAAGCCACGGCUAACUACGUG